rnacentral:tRNA from 1 species
GGGCGUUUGGCACAGUGGUAGCGCGCAUGCUUUGCAUGCAUGAGGUCGAGGGUUCAAUCCCCCCAACGUCCA